AGUAAUGUCUGGGAAACUGCCUGAUGGAGGGGGGAGUAACUACUGGAAACGGUAGCUAAUACCGCAUAACGUCGCAAGACCAAAGAGGGGGACCUCGGGCCUCUUGCCAUCGGAUGUGCCCAGAUGGGAUUAGCUAGUAGGUGGGGUAACGGCUCACCAGGCGACGAUCCCUAGCUGGUCUGAGAGGAUGACCAGCCACACUGGAACUGAGACACGGUCCAGACUCCUACGGGAGGCAGCAUG
rnacentral:rRNA from 1 species